AGCACUGGACGGUUCUAACAUAUGCGCAUUACUGCGGCGGAUUACAGGGAGUGAUUAUAGACGUAAGGUAGACAAUUCGGAUAUCUUCCCGUUCAACCGGAAUGUGCAUAAUGGCCUUCUAUACACUCUUCGGAUUAAUUUGUGCCCAACUGUUGCACCAGACGUUAGGAAACAGCACCUUGAAAACACGAAGGAGCACCGACUCGACAGCACACAUUCUGGACCAGCUAAUGGGAACAAGUGGCUACGACUCAAGAGUGAGUCCAG